GAGAAAAUUGGUGGAUUUCAAGUAAUCAAGCAAUCAAAGGCGGUGAGCCCUCUAACAAGGGUAAAGACGUUGUGUUAGAGGACUAAGAAUAAGAGUAUUUCAAACUCUUGAUACAGCUCAGGAUAGUUGGUAGAUAGCUCAUUUCGUU
rnacentral:sRNA from 1 species